rnacentral:rRNA from 1 species
AGAGUUUGAUCAUGGCUCAGGACGAACGCUGGCGGCGUGCUUAACACAUGCAAGUCGAACGAUGAACCACUUCGGUGGGGAUUAGUGGCGAACGGGUGAGUAACACGUGGGCAAUCUGCCCUGCACUCUGGGACAAGCCCUGGAAACGGGGUCUAAUACCGGAUACUGACCCGCUUGGGCAUCCAAGCGGUUCGAAAGCUCCGGCGGUGCAGGAUGAGCCCGCGGCCUAUCAGCUUGUUGGUGAGGUAAUGGCUCACCAAGGCGACGACGGGUAGCCGGCCUGAGAGGGCGACCGGCCACACUGGGACUGAGACACGGCCCAGACUCCUACGGGAGGCAGCAGUGGGGAAUAUUGCACAAUGGGCGAAAGCCUGAUGCAGCGACGCCGCGUGAGGGAUGGCGGCCUUCGGGUUGUAAACCUCUUUCAGCAGGGAAGAAGCGAAAGUGACGGUACCUGCAGAAGAAGCGCCGGCUAACUACGUGCCAGCAGCCGCGGUAAUACGUAGGGCGCGAGCGUUGUCCGGAAUUAUUGGGCGUAAAGAGCUCGUAGGCGGCUUGUCACGUCGGUUGUGAAAGCCCGGGGCUUAACCCCGGGUCUGCAGUCGAUACGGGCAGGCUAGAGUUCGGUAGGGGAGAUCGGAAUUCCUGGUGUAGCGGUGAAAUGCGCAGAUAUCAGGAGGAACACCGGUGGCGAAGGCGGAUCUCUGGGCCGAUACUGACGCUGAGGAGCGAAAGCGUGGGGAGCGAACAGGAUUAGAUACCCUGGUAGUCCACGCCGUAAACGGUGGGCACUAGGUGUGGGCGACAUUCCACGCCGUCCGUGCCGCAGCUAACGCAUUAAGUGCCCCGCCUGGGGAGUACGGCCGCAAGGCUAAAACUCAAAGGAAUUGACGG